rnacentral:rRNA from 1 species
CUUGGAAGCAGCCAUUCAUUUAAAGAGUGCGUAACAGCUCACUAGUCGAGUGACCUUGCAUGGAUAAUACACGGGCGUUAAGCAUACCGCCGAAGCUGCAGAUUCAAUGACUUAACUCAUUGACUGGUAGGGGAGCAUUCUAUAAAGCACUGAAGAUAAGCUGCGAGGCUUGUUGGAGCAUAUAGAAAAGAAAAUGUAGGCAUGAGUAACGAUAAUGGAGGCGAGAAACCUCCACACCGAAAAGCUAAGGAUUCCCGGGCCAUGCUAAUCAGCCCGGGGUUAGUCGGGACCUAAGAAAAACCCGAAAGGGCUAUUCGAUGGACAGAAGGUUAAUAUUCCUUCACCUCUCUACAAUAAAAGUGACGGAUUGUCCAGGCUGUUAGGUACUGACGGAAUAGUACCUAGAGCCGAGCCUUCGGGCAAAGCAAAACAGAUAAAACAGUCCCUAGAAAAGCAAGUAGAUGAGCCCGUACCCGAAACCAACACAGGUAGCUGGGAUGAGGAUUCUAAGGUGCUCGGGUGAUUCACGGUUAAGGAACUAGGCAAAAUAACCCCGUAACUUCGGAAUAAGGGGAGCCUCUAUAUAACGUAGAGGCCGCAGAGAAAUGAUCCAAGCGACUGUUUAGCAAAAACAUAGGGCUAUGCUAAUUCGAAAGAAGAUGUAUAUGGCCUGACACCUGCCCGGUGCCGGAAGGUUAAAUGGAGAUGUUAUCGUAAGAAAAGCAUUGAAAUGAAGCCCCGGUAAACGGCGGCCGUAACUAUAACGGUCCUAAGGUAGCGAAAUUCCUUGUCGGGUAAGUUCCGACCUGCACGAAUGGUGUAACGAUUUGGAUACUGUCUCAACCGUGAGCCCGGUGAAAUUGUAAUAUCGGUGAAGAUGCCGAUUACCCGCGAUGGGACGGAAAGACCCCGUGAACCUUUACUAUAGCUUAACAUUGUUCCUGGGCACGUAAUGUGUAGGAUAGGUCGGAGACAGUGAAGUGAUGUCGCCAGGCAGCACAGAGUCAACCUUGAAAUACGACCCUUUACGUGUUUGGGAUCUAACUCCCCAUAAAAAAGGAGAACAGUGUUUGGUGGGUAGUUUGACUGGGGUGGUCGCCUCCUAAAAAGUAACGGAGGCUUCCAAAGGUACCCUCAGCACGAUUGGUAACCGUGCGCAGAGUGCAAUGGCAAAAGGGUGCUUAACUGUGAGACCUACAAGUCGAACAGAGACGAAAGUCGGGCAUAGUGAUCCGGUGGUCCCAUGUGGAAGGGCCAUCGCUCAAAGGAUAAAAGGUACUCCGGGGAUAACAGGCUGAUC